AGAAAAAAAGGAAGGAAAACUCACCCAGGAAUGUUUGGGAUCAACCUGGAGCAGAGCUGAAUUCCCUGUCCCUGAUUUCCCUGGAAAUCCCAGGGAUUCGGGAUCAACAGGGGGAAUUUGGGUGGAAAUCUUUGGAUGAACAGGUGGAAUUUUGGAAUUUUGGUGGAACUCUUUGGAUGGACAGGUGGAGUUUUGGUGGAAAUCUGAGGGAUUUUGGAUGAACAGGUGGAAUUUUGGUGGAAGUCUGAGGGAUUUUGGUGGAGAUCUGAGGAAUUCUGGAUGAACAGGUGGAAUUUUGGAAUUUUGCUGGAAAUCUGAGGGAUUUUGGUGGAAAUCUGAGGGAUUUUGGAUGAACAGGUGGAAUUUGGGUGGAAGUCUGAGGGAUUUUGGUGGAAAUCCGAGGGAUUUUAGAUGAACAGGUGGAAUUUUGGAAUUUUGGAUGAACAGGUGGAAUUUGGGUGGAAAUCUGAGGGAUUUUGGAUGGACAGGUGGAAUUUUGCUGGAAAUCUGAGAGAUUUU